CAGCUUGUUGGUGGGGUAACGGCCUACCAAGGCGACGACGGGUAGCCGGCCUGAGAGGGCGACCGGCCACACUGGGACUGAGACACGGCCCAGACUCCUACGGGAGGCAGCAGUGGGGAAUAUUGCGCAAUGGGCGAAAGCCUGACGCAGCGACGCCGCGUGGGGGAUGAAGGCCUUCGGGUUGUAAACCCCUUUCAGCAGGGACGAAGCGAAAGUGACGGUACCUGCAGAAGAAGCGCCGGCUAACUACGUGCCAGCAGCCGCGGUAACACGUAGGGCGCAAGCGUUGUCCGGAAUUAUUGGGCGUAAAGAGCUCGUAGGCGGUCUGUUGCGUCCGCUGUGAAAACUCGGGGCUUAACCCCGAGCCUGCAGUGGAUACGGGCAGACUAGAGGUAGGUAGGGGAGAAUGGAAUUCCCGGUGUAGCGGUGAAAUGCGCAGAUAUCGGGAGGAACACCGGUGGCGAAGGCGGUUCUCUGGGCCUUACCUGACGCUGAGGAGCGAAAGCGUGGGGAGCGAACAGGAUUAGAUACCCUGGUAGUCCACGCCGUAACGUUGGGCGCUAGGUGUGGGAUCCUUCCACGGAUUCCGUGCCGCAGCUAACGCAUUAAGCGCCCCGCCUGGG
rnacentral:rRNA from 1 species